rnacentral:rRNA from 1 species
CUCAACCUGGGAAUGGCAUUCGAUACUGUCCAGCUAGAGUCUGGUAGAGGGAAGUGGAAUUUCCGGUGUAGCGGUGAAAUGCGUAGAUAUCGGAGGGAACACCAGUGGCGAAGGCGACUUCCUGGACCAAGACUGACGCUGAGGUGCGAAAGCGUGGGUAGCAAACAGGAUUAGAUACCCUGGUAGUCCACGCCGUAAACGAUGAGAACUAGCCGUUGGACCCAUUUAAGGGUUUAGUGGCGCAGCUAACGCAAUAAGUUCUCCGCCUGGGGAGUACGGCCGCGAGGCUAAAACUCAAAGGAAUUGACGGGGGCCCGCACAAGCGGUGGAGCAUGUGGUUUAAUUCGAUGCAACGCGAAGAACCUUACCUGCCCUUGACAUCCUCGGAACUUGGUAGAGAUACCUUGGUGCCUUCGGGAGCCG